CCGCCACCUACUGGAUAGGAGUGUGGAGCGCAUAAUGUAGGAGAAGCACGAGUACAAAAGAUAUAUGAUACGAAUGGAGGGAUGAGAUUACCAAAGGGAAGAGAGAACAGGAAGAAGAGUAGGAGGGGAGGAAAAAAAACAGUUUAAUACGAUAUAAAUUUUUAAUUUCUUAUGUUAUGUUAAGUUAUUCUUAAAUUCUAUUAAUCAAUUUUGUUUCCUUUAAGUAAUUAAUUAAUUGCAUUAUUAUUUUAACUUGAUUUGAACCGUUUCCUAAUAGGGUCUGAAAUGGUAAAUUUUUUAUCCCAUAAAUGCUUAAUCCUUGAACUAAUUGACAUCUCUGAUUUUCAUAUGCCACACAUUCUGUAAUUACAUGUUCUAAUGUUUCUAUUUUCCCGCAUUUAUCACAACAUCAUCCUGUCUUAUGCUUCCCUAUUCUAAAUUUAUACUGGUUUAGCAAACAAUGACCCACACGCAACCUAGUUAUCACCACAUCAUUCCUUCUAUUACCAAACUUAUUUCUAGUACCACCCACACAUCCAUGAAUAUUAUGAAUAUGUCUGCCUUUUUCUCCAUUAUCCCACUCCCUCUGCCACAUUCUACCUGUUUCUUUUGCAAUUAUGUUUUUUACCUCUGACUUACUUAUUUUUAUUUUUAUUUCUAUUUGAUUAUGUUGUAAUGCUUCCUUUGCAAGUUGGUCUGCCUCUUCAUUACCUACUUCUCCCAUAUGACCAGGAAUCCACAAGAAGCUUACAAAAAGUCCACCCUGUCUGAUUCUAAAUACAUUUUGCAUGAUCUCAUUCAUUAUGUCCUGUCUUGCCUUAGAAGUUCAAGUAAUUGCAACACGUUCUCACUCCCAACUCGUCAUAUACUGACGCUUGGUCAGGAACCCUCGGCGUAGGUUAUUGACGCACAGGGUACCCCUUUAGCGUCAUAUUUAGACGUGCAGGGAUUCCCUAUAGAAUAUGUACCUGAGCCUGAGGCGUCAUAGGGAGACGCUGGAGGCUCGUAUAAUUACCAAUAGAUGUCAACGUAAUUUUUAAAACCUGAUUUUACGCCUAUUAUCGCAGUUUUCUUAUUUUAAAAAUAUGUAAUUUUUAUUUUAUUUAAUUUUAUUUAUUAUUUUAUUAUUUUAUUUAUAAUUUUAUUAUCAUCCCUUCACGGUGAGUUUAACGCCUUUCUGCUAUUGGUCAAACUGCAUCAGCGCUGAGUUCUCAGAUGAGUUCAACUGUCAACAUUAAAUAGUGUGUUAAUGCUGCAUAAUGUAUUUUAUUGGAGAUUAGUUGGUGUUUAUAAAUAUGUUAUCAUUUACUUCAAAUUUAAUGAGUGAAAUUAUACUCGGUUGCCCAGUUUAGGGUAACUAUGCCUAAUAAAACUUUGAUUCAUUCAUAUUAUUAUUAUUUAUUUUUUACUUUAAAAAAUAUUACAUUUCAAGUACUAAGUUUAAAAAAUGUUUUUGGCUGAUUUUUUUCAUUUUAAAUGAUUUAUUGAUGUUCGGGUCAUUGUAUGUGGCGAUCUAUUUUUUACAGUCUAUGGUCGCGAUCCCAAGGUUCAUUGCGAUCCCAAGGUUCACUGCGGUUUUCCACAAGAUGCAGAAUCUUUUGACAUAUGAAUUCAUCUUGACUAAGGAACUCUUCACAGCACUGCAUUUGAACAGUCACAACCCCACAGAGCAGCACAACCGCCCCACUCAUGAUCAGUGUUAUGGUGCCAUUUUAAAGCUGGAACCUCAUCUUGUGUACAGCAAAGGCAGAGCUGAAAAUUCACUGUUUGUCUUGUAUUGUGUGUGGCAAGACCUGGAAUAACACCUGGGAGCCCUCCAGGAAUUCCUGACACUUUACGCCCAAGUCUCCUCAUGCUAACCGGAUUGCAAUAUGACAGUCUAGUCAGCAUAAACACCUGGACUCACCAAGCACACUUUGGUUCUCAGUGUUUUUUGGUUCUGUAGUAUUUUUUAAAAACAGCUUUUAUUGACUUGAUCAGUAUAUAUCAGACUAUUAUAUCCAACAUUAUUUAUUGAACAUAGCAUAGGUAAUAGUCUUGCUGAUAUUCUCUCACUCAUUUCUCGUUUGAAAUGUGAAUACUUUUUCCUUUUCUACGGGGCUCUACUCAUCCCCUUUGAGUAAAAGGGCAGUUAACCUAUGUAGAUGUAUUAUCUUCAACAUGGACAAGAAAUUGUAUUGUCACAUGUACAGUUGUGGUAAAAAAAAAAUAAGCUGGAAAAUAAGCUAAACAUUAGUAUCCUCUUUAAUCACAAGUUAUUAGCAAUAGUAAUCUAUGUUCAUCACAAAUAUUAUGAGUUCAGAAUUCUGGAAGUGUGUUUCAUUAAUGGUCAUCAUGUGAUGUUUAAUUGUUUUCACUUUAUUUGAAAUAUGGACAAAAGAUCUUUUAAAAUAUGUAAAUGUUUAUAAAUAUAACCUUUUUCAAGAUGUAUUUGUUUGACAACCACUCUUUAUCUGACUAUUUUUACUUUCUAAAUCUUCAACUGUUUGUGUAACAGUAUGUUUUGAUGACAAAUGAUGAACUUGUGUUUAAUAAUGACCACAUAAUGUCUUUGUCCUGGA
ensembl:lincRNA